CUCAUCUUCACUUUCAUAUAAAGAAAUUGAGGUACAGCAAGAUUAAGCAACCUGCCCACAGUCACAGCUGAUAAAUGGUUGAACACUAACUAAUUCAUUAAUUGACAAUAAUUGUUCAACUCAGGCAGGUGGGCUCCAAGAGCCUUAACUCUUAAUCACUACACUGUGUUGUCAAGGAAACAGCCACUGAAGAUUCUGGUUAUGGAGGUAGGUGGGCAAGGAAGUGAGCUGUGGCUGUGGCUGACUCCACAUUAAGCAACAUCCUUUUGUUACAUGAAGCCCAAAGGGAAUGCUGGGAAAGCAGGGGGCGGGCGGGGGGAGACAACGGGACACAAAAGCCCAAAGUUGAAGGAAUCUAGUUUGUAGAAGAGAAGACUGAGAAUAGAAGCUGUUCUAAUCUAGAAUGUUCUAAAGUAACAAACGCUGCUCUGAAUAAAUCUACGAAGCAGGUAAUUUUUAUAUUCGGCAUUGCCCCCCUGUUUCUGGUCUUAGUCUCCCCCUUCUGGUACUCCAUUAUCUGGGGCCUGCCUUUCCUGACCUAAUCAAGUGUUCACACUUUUCUUCCUCUUCUUCUCUUAGUCUCACCCACCUGGCCAUACACCCCUGAACUCCCCCAGAGCUUACCAGGCAGGGUGUACUAUCUGGCCUGCCACUUCAAAUUCCUUUGCAGUUCUUCAUCCCCUAUUCCUUCCUCUCUAUCUCCUCUAAGGACUACAGCCACUCUGCCAUACCCUUAAAGCACACUCUCUAUACUCUCUGAAAUGACCCGAGGCGAAUCUAGAAAACAAUCUGUUCUAAUGGAAGAAAAUGGGGGAGAAAACAUCCAAGGUUGUCCCUUCAUUUUUCCUCAAAACAUCUUUUUUAGAAACUGCUCCUUAUAUUGGUUCUCUUAACUCAAAAGAGUAACUUUAUCCCUCAGGUGUGGGAAUUUCAAGUCAGUUAAGAAUUUCAUAGCCAACUGGUGAAUGAGAUUCUUCUAUGGUACCUGUCAUGUAAUAUCAUCUCCUUUGCUCAAAAUUAAGGCUCCCUGAAGUGCAGUCCACGAAGUGGGUGAAUUGCUUUUGUUCCGCUCCUUCCGAGGCUCGCCCACCCGAGGCAGACACAUCUACCCAGUUCUGGCAGGGACGCGCUCCAGGGCGGUGUAGGGGGCCUCGGAGUUGCCACCAAGCCUGCAGACGAGAGGAUCCUUCGCUUCGGACUCUGAAUUCAGCGCCUGUACCGGACGCUGGAAAAACCGAGUUGGGAGCGCCAAGUGAGAUCGCCUGGGGCUCUGUCUCCCCUCUGACUUGAAAUCUCGCUGGAACGUUCACACCUAAUAAAUACAGUCUUUUACUUAAGCCA
rnacentral:lncRNA from 1 species